rnacentral:misc_RNA from 1 species
GGAAAUUUCUUUCAGCAGAAUCGAAGUUGCAUGAUGCAAUUGGCAUGUGAAAGAUAUGGACACAAAAGAUUAAUUAUCUUACAGAGAACAGCCGAGUCAAACUUGUACCCAUAUCAAAAGACAACUUGGAGGACCAAAUUAAUUUCCACGGUGACCAGUGCAACUGCAACCCAAACUGUUAGUGAUAGGCAUUUUGCAGGAAUUCCAAGCACUCCAAUCAGCUAUUGAUGAAUCGCAUCCAAUAAAAUUAUUGUUUCUUUUGACAUUUUCCAAUCUUAAUGACAAACAUCAUCUAUCAGAAUUCUGAUUUGACGAUAUAUUAACUGUUUCUACUUAUUGAAAACGAAGAUCAAUGAUACUUCUUCUUAGCAGAUACAGUUUGCACAUCAUAUGCUGAUACUAGUUUAACAACACGAAACUAGCAGAUAUCAGCAGGUUUUAUCCUGACAGUGAUAAAGCCAAAGCUACCUUGACUCCAGCGCAUCAUCUUCUUUAUCUUUGACAGGAGGAUGUCUGUAUAUUGCAGGAACGGUAGAAGGGAAGAACAUUUGUCUCACUCCUUCUGCUUUGAUAAUGGGGAAAAUAAUACCUGAUGCACUCUGCAAGAGGGCAAGUCACUCACUAAGAAUUAAAGAAUUUCAUCAUAUAAAGAACUGAAAUAUACUCUUCAUUUAUUUUAUUGCUGUUAUGUGCCAUUUGACAUGGAGUUCAUUUGAUUGGAAAUAGCAAGCCAAAUAAAAGAACGAGUAGCGUGUCUAAAUUGGUAGGCAAGGCUUGGUAAUGAUUUGAAGAAAUUUAGAAAGAAUCCAGCAGUGAACUUAGUAACUUACUACCACUGCUUAUGUCACAUUCCUAACCAUAAUUUUAUAGAAUAAUAGAUAAGCAGAAAAGAUUGUAACGCGCGUAAAUUCUUAAUGGUGGACAAUAAUAAAGAAAAGAAAAGAAUAAAGAAAAGAAAAGAAAAAAGAAAUUAGUUUCAUUUUCUUUACUGAUUCAAUUAGCCAUAAUUAUGUUUAAGAACUUGUUUUUGUGUUUGUUGCUAUCUGCGCGAAGUAGCUGAUUCUUACAGCUUUUAUCGACACCAGAGAUAAAAGUAGGUCUUGAACUGUAGAUACAGCUUCAUUUUGUCUACCAGAGCAAGAUGCAAGACAUGGGUAGAGAAGAUCAUCAUCAUCACCAGCAUCAUCAUUCUGAUACAGAGCUCUUAUCUGGUGAAAGGGUACCUUACACUGGUCCCUUAAGCGGACCUCUUAACAAGAGAGGAACAAGAAAGAGCGCCAGGUUCAACAUCCCAGAGUCCAGUUCAGCCCAGGAUGAACAAUACGUGGAGGUCACCCUGGAUCUCCGCGAUGAUUCUGUGGCUGUCCACAGUGUGAAAGCAGCAAAUGGUAUGGAAGAAGAUCCAGAAGUGUCACUACUUGCCAAAGGUCUGGAGAAAAGAUCUACCUCAAAAGUUAUGAGGAAUGCUUCUGCCAGGAUCAGGCAGGUUUCCCAGGAAUUAAAGCGAAUUACUUCAUUCUCCAAGAGACCUCCUCCUCCGGGUCGCCUCGACAGGAACAAAUCUGCGGCUGCUCAUGCUUUGAAAGGACUUAAGUUUAUCAGCAAGACUGAUGGAGGUGCAGGGUGGGCCGCCGUGGAGAAGCGGUUCCAUGAAAUUACUUCUUCCACGGAUGGGUUGCUUCCCCGCUCACGAUUCUGUGAAUGCAUAGGAAUGAAGGAAUCUAAGGAAUUCGCAGGGGAGUUGUUUGAUGCACUUGCAAGGAAGAGGAAUAUAGAAGGUGAUUCAAUCAGUAUGGCUGAGUUGCAGGAAUUCUGGGAACAGAUUUCCGACCAGAGCUUCGAUUCCAGGCUUCAAACUUUCUUUGACAUGGUUGAUAAAGAUGCGGAUGGUAGAAUCACAGAAGAGGAAGUCAGAGAGAUUAUUACCCUUAGCGCUUCUGCAAAUAAACUCUCAAACAUCCAAAAACAAGCAGAGGAGUAUGCAGCCUUGAUCAUGGAAGAGCUGGAUCCAGAAAAUCAUGGAUAUAUCAUGAUAGAGAACCUGGAAAUGCUUCUAUUGCAAGGACCAAACCAAUCUGUAAGAGUAGGAGAGAGCAAAAACCUGAGCAAAAUGCUUAGCCAGAAGCUUAAGCCAACACUGGAUGACAACCCAAUAACGAGAUGGUGUAGAAGCAUCAAGUAUUUCAUUUUAGACAACUGGCAGAGAGUGUGGGUGAUAGCUCUUUGGAUUGGGGUUAUGGCUGGCCUAUUUGCCUGGAAGUAUGUGCAGUAUCGACGCAGAGCAGCCUAUGUGGUAAUGCGCGAAUGCGUCUGUAUCGCCAAGGGAGGAGCUGAGACACUGAAAUUGAAUAUGGCUUUAAUAUUACUACCAGUCUGCAGAAACACCAUCACCUGGCUCAGGAAUAAGACCAAGUUGGGUGUUGUGGUUCCUUUUGAUGACAACCUCAAUUUCCACAAGGUGAUAGCAGUUGGGAUUACAAUUGGAGUUGGUCUGCAUGGAAUUUCUCAUUUAACCUGUGACUUCCCGCGGCUUCUUCAAGCAAAUGAAGAGAAAUGGAAGCUUAUGCAGCCAUUUUUUGGGGAUCAACCUUCAAGCUACUGGCAUUUUGUGAAGGAAGUGGAGGGAGUGACUGGGAUCAUAAUGGUGAUAUUGAUGGCAAUAGCCUUUACACUAGCUACCCCCUGGUUCAGGCGUAACAGGCUCAAUUUGCCCCCUUUCCUCAAGAAGCUCACUGGCUUCAAUGCCUUUUGGUACUCUCACCAUCUCUUCAUCAUUGUCUACGCCCUGCUCAUUGUGCAUGGUCAUUACCUCUACUUGACUGAUAAAUGGUACAAGAAAACGACCUGGAUGUAUUUGGCUAUUCCUAUAAUCCUUUAUGCCAGUGAAAGAUUGACUAGGGCACUAAGAUCCAGCAUCAAGCCUGUUACCAUCAAAAAGGUGGCUAUUUAUCCUGGAAAUGUGUUGGCACUUCACAUGUCAAAGCCUCAGGGAUUUAGAUACAAGAGUGGGCAAUACAUGUUUGUUAACUGUGCUGCUGUCUCUCCAUUUGAAUGGCACCCAUUUUCCAUCACUUCUGCUCCUGGAGAUGACUAUCUUAGUGUUCACAUUAGAACCUUGGGUGAUUGGACAAGGCAACUCAAAACAAUAUUCUCACAGGUUUGCCAACCACCUGACACUGGGAAAAGUGGACUUCUCAGAGCUGAGGGCUUACAAGGAAACAACAAUCCAAUUUGGUGAGUUCUUUUAUUUUGGGUAAAAUGUCAGUCUAUCCACAUCACUGGAUCAAAGAUAAAUUUUAAAGAAAACCCAGAUGUAUUUUCUGAACAAGUAGUAUUAUAAACACUUCAAAAGGAAUCCAAAGGUAGAGAGGGUGAGUAGUUCAUUCUGUAUACUUGACAAGCAAGACAUUAGGUCAACUUCUAAUUUAGGCGUGAAUCUUGGGUGAUUGGGUGCAAAAAUCUCUCUACUGAUAUACCCACCCUAGAAGAGCAAGUGAUCUCCCUUGAAUUUUGUGUGCCCAGCCAAGGUAGUUAGCUGUAGGGGUCUUAUCCUUUCAGUAUACAUAAGGGCAUGGGGUAAGAAUAAAGAAUGCAUCAUUUGUUUAUGGAAUAAUUAGGGACACCAUAAAGAAGACAAAAAACUACCAAGAAAAAUGGCCCUUCACCUAUAUUGAUGACCCACCACCUAAUUGCAAGAAUUACAGAACAUUGUCCACCUAAGGGUGCUCUUGGUAGCUAAAUUCCACCAGAUCUUUGGCCUUAUGUGUCUGCGAUGAGAUAUCACACCAGAAGACAAAUAGGAUUGGCAUCUUUGACAGAUUCGUAUUUUCCUGAUUAAUUGCACCACAUGUAUAUGGCUUGAUUAGUUUGACAAAUUAUUGUCCAUGCACUUAAUAGUCAACCCACAUGGCCAAAGAUUGCAAAUUAGAAGAUUAUUUUCCUUUAAAUUCAAUAAUCCAUUAAUUAAACAUAAACAACACACCAAAAUUGAUGAUUAAAUUUUACAUUACAAGCUAAUCCAUUUUGCUCCAAUAAUAGUAUGGAGUAGGGAUAUCUAACAAACGCUCGCACAUGGCUUUGUGUUAAAGUAAAAAAAUGAUUGCCCUUUCAUGUCAUUGAUAUUUUUGGCAAAAUAUAUUUUCUUGCUUCUUCCACUGAAAAAAAGUCUCUUGCUUAGAUAGUAUAAGCCUGUAUGAUAAUGUAAAUGACCUAUUCCUCUAACAACUAUAUGGUAAUGAUGGUGAUGAACAGUUUUCCAAGAGUUUUGAUUGAUGGUCCAUAUGGAGCACCAGCACAAGACUACAAAGAGUAUGAGGUGGUUCUGCUUGUGGGUCUAGGAAUUGGAGCAACCCCAAUGAUAAGCAUUGUGAAGGACAUAGUGAGCAACAUAAGGGCCUUGGAAGAAGGAGAGGGUGCACUAGAAGAUGGCACAUUGCCAAAAACACCUACUCCUAAUACUGCACUGAGAAGAAAAGAUAACUUCAAGACAAGCAGGGCAUACUUUUAUUGGGUAACAAGGGAACAAGGGUCCUUCGACUGGUUUAAAGGGGUGAUGAAUGAAGUGGCUGAACUAGACCACAACCAUGUCAUAGAGCUCCAUAACUAUUGCACUAGUGUUUACGAAGAAGGAGAUGCAAGGUCUGCCCUAAUUGCCAUGCUUCAAUCCCUCCAUCAUGCCAAGAAUGGUGUUGAUAUUGUCUCUGGAACUCGAGUCAAGUCCCACUUUGCCAAGCCCAAUUGGAGGAAUGUCUACAAAAGCAUUGCCCUUAACCACCCCAAUUCUCGAGUUGGGGUGUUUUAUUGUGGGGCACCAGCGCUUACAAAAGAGCUACGUCACCUAGCUUUGGAUUUCUCACACAAAACAAACACCAAGUUUGAUUUUCACAAAGAAAAUUUCUAAUUUUCAAAGGAUGAGAAGAGAAAUAGAGAGAGAGAGAA